CUUUUUCUUUUUUUCUUUCUAUUUUCUUUCUUCCCCUUCUUCUUCCUCUCUCGAACCUUAGCCCGCCGCCGCUUGUACCGCCGUUACGAUCCCCGCUUGGUGGUGCAACGAUGGCCGGUAUCUCCUCUCUUUUUUUCUCUUUUCUUUCUCUCCUUUCCUUUUUCCUUUCUCUCUUUCUUUCUCCCCUCUUCCUCUUCUAUUUUGACGACCCCAAAGUGGAAGGCACCACCGCCGUGCUCGUCUUCGGCUCCUCUCCGCACUUGGUGGUCGACGACUCAAAGGUGGUGGCUUUGGUGUUUGUAGUGGUGGUGGUGGUUGCGGUGGUGGUGUUUGCGCGAGGGUGGUGGUGGAGGCUUUGCUUGCUGCUGUUUUUAUUUUUUUGAAUUUUCUCUGCUGUUUUCUUUUUCUUUGGCUGCUGAAAAAAUUGAGAACCCCAUCUCUUUCUCAUUUCCUUCUUUUUAAUCUUUUUGAUUUGUCAUCUUCUUCUUUGUUUUCAGGUGGCAGCGGAGAAGGGAGGCCAUGCAUUGGGGGUGCCAGGCGUGGCAAGCGGGGCACGCCUGACUGCUGAUUGGUGGCGGUCUUGUCAUGCCCAGAAGGACCAAAAUGCAAAGGGUGCAAAAUUUCUGGGGAAAAAUGUAAUUUUAAGAAAAUACGGGGCCAAAAUGUAAUUUUAGAAAGUUAAGGGGUCAAAAUGAAAUUUUAAGAAAGUUAAGGGGUCAAGAUACAAUUUUGAAAAAAGUUUAGGGGUUGAAAUGUAAUUUAUAUUUUUUUAAUUUUUUUCAAAAUUUUAUUAUUACUAUUAAUAUUUAAAACAUAGAUUAAAAAUGGACUAAAACCUAAGUAAGCCCAAAAUUAAAUCUUAAUGGGCCCAAUCAUUGGGCCCAUAUGAGACCAGCCCGGCCCAAAACCCUACCCCGGCAAAAUUUAGUGAUUACACUCAGGUUUCCUCUAAAUCUCAGUUGCACCAGAAAACCAAGAAAAUACUAUUUUUACAUUCCCAUUCGGCACAUUUGAGUAUAGAAGGAUGCCAUUUAGAUUUUGCAACGCACCAACCACCUUUCAAAGAUGCAUGAUGAGUAUAUUUUCUAAAUAUGUAGAAAACGUUAUCGAAUUUUUGAUUGAUUAUUUUACUGUGCAUGGGAACUGUUUUGAUGAAUGCCUUAAAAACCUUACGAUAAUUUUAAGUAGAUGCAUAGAAUUUAUUCUUGUCUUGAAUUACGAAAAGUGUCAUUUUAUGGUAGACAAAGGUUUAAUUCUAGGACAUAUAGUUUCAGCUAAAGGGAUUAAAUUUAAUAAGGCCAAAACUGACAUUAUAAAUUCUUUGCCAUAUCCCUCAAUUGUAAGGGAAAUCCGUUCUUUCUUUAGCCAUGCAGGGUUUUACAGGCACUUUAUAAAGAACUUCUCAAAAGUAGUUGAACCACUAUGCGAAUUGUUGCAGAACGAUAAGAAUUUUGAGUUCCACCCAAAAUGCAAAGAGGCUUUUGACACACUCAAACAAAAGUUGGUUUCAACUCCUAUAGUCCAAGCACUAAAUUGGAACUAUCCCUUUGAAAUUAUGUAUGAUGCAAGCGAGCACAGUGUGGGGGUCGUGUUGGGGUAAAAGAUAGACAGAGAGCCUCAUGUCAUUUGUUAUGCCUCAAAAACCCUAGAUGCUGCACAAACUCUUAGGUACUUGAUCGCAAAGAAGGAAGCAAAACCAAAGCUUAUUAGAUGGAUUUUACUGCUCCAAGAAUUCAACAUCGAGAUUCAAGACAAGAAGAGAUGCAAAAACUUGGUGGCUGACCACUUGAGUAGGUUAAAAACACCUUGUGAUGACACUUCUAUAAAGGAUGAAUUUUCUGAUGAGGGCCUAUUUUCGGCCAAUGCACAUUUUCCAUGGUAUGCGGAUAUGGUAAAUCUCUUUGCCACAAGUUCAUAGCCUACUAGGUUAGCACGUUCCAUGAAAAACAAGCUCAAAAGGGAAGCUCAAUAUUAUAUUUGGGAUGACCCAUAUCUGUGGAAACAUUUCUCAGAUCAGAUAAGAAGACGAUGUGUUCCAAAAAUCGAGUUGGCUUUUAUACUCACAUUUUGUCAUACCGAAGCUUGUGAAGGUCACUUUGGCUCUAAACGAACUGCUCAUAAGGUAUUAAAGUGUGGGCUAUACUGGCUCACAAUUUUUUGAGACACAUAUAAUUUCUGUAAAUCUUAAGAUAAAUGCCAACAUACAUGUAACAUAACUAAGCGAAAUCAAAUGCCCCUAUCCCCAAUUCAUGUAUGUGAGAUUUUUAAUGUGCGGGGCAUCGACUUCAUAGGUCCGUUUAUUUCCUCAUUUAGAAAUAUGUAUAUAAUUCUUGCAGUA